rnacentral:lncRNA from 10 species
UGGGUGAGGGGAUACAGUAAUCGUCCUGAAGAAAAAUGAUGAGACUUGAAGGAAGGGGAAGUUUUGAGACGUCAGACCAGGGAAAGCUUUGAGAGCUCUUUAGGAGGUAGAAAACCUACCUUCUGCUUCAGCAUGUGCUGGGCACUGGAGACACAGGACGAAUCCGAUGCAGCCUCUAGGAGUUGGUAGUUAUUAGAAGCGAAGGACAGCAAGCUGGAGGAAAGGCGGUAAGGAGUGG